UAGCCUAGUGGCUAAGGCUACGGAUCGCCAAUCCGGAGACGGCGGGUUCGAUUCCCGU
rnacentral:tRNA from 1 species